rnacentral:rRNA from 1 species
CCGGCCCGCCGCCCCCGCCCCCCUACGGGAGGCAGCAGUGGGGAAUUUUGGACAAUGGGCGCAAGCCUGAUCCAGCCAUGCCGCGUGUCUGAAGAAGGCCUUCGGGUUGUAAAGGACUUUUGUCCGGGAGCAAAUGCCUGGUGUUAAUAGCAUCGGGAGCUGAGAGUACCGGAAGAAUAAGCACCGGCUAACUACGUGCCAGCAGCCGCGGUAAUACGUAGGGUGCAAGCGUUAAUCGGAAUUACUGGGCGUAAAGCGUGCGCAGGCGGUUUUGUAAGCCAGAUGUGAAAGCCCCGGGCUCAACCUGGGAACUGCGUUUGGAACUACAAGACUAGAGUGUGUCAGAGGGGGGUGGAAUUCCGCGUGUAGCAGUGAAAUGCGUAGAGAUGCGGAGGAACACCGAUGGCGAAGGCAGCCCCCUGGGAUAACACUGACGCUCAUGCACGAAAGCGUGGGGAGCAAACAGGAUUAGAUACCCUGGUAGUCCACGCCCUAAACGAUGUCAAUUAGCUGUUGGGGGUUAGAAUCCUUGGUAGCGUAGCUAA